GGUUAAGUGACUAAGCGUACACGGUGGAUGCCUUGGCAGUCAGAGGCGAUGAAAGACGUAGUAACUUGCGAUAAGCCCAGAUUAGGUAGUAACAACCAUUUGAGUCUGGGAUUUCUGAAUGGGGAAACCCACGUGCAUAAGCACGUAUCCUUACCUGAAUACAUAGGGUAAGGAGGCGAACCGGGGGAACUGAAACAUCUAAGUACCCCGAGGAAAAGAAAUCAACCGAGAUUCCGAAAGUAGCGGCGAGCGAAAUUGGACUAGCCCUUAAGCUUUACACGCGUUAGACGAACGGUCUGGAAAGUCCGACGAUACAGGGUGAUAGUCCCGUAGUUGACGACGUGUGUUCAGUGAAAUCGAGUAGGGCGGGACACGUGAUAUCCUGUCUGAAUAUGGGGGGACCAUCCUCCAAGGCUAAAUACUACUGACUGACCGAUAGUGAACCAGUACCGUGAGGGAAAGGCGAAAAGAACCCCUGUGAGGGGAGUGAAAUAGAACCUGAAACCGUGUACGUACAAGCAGUAGGAGCAGGCUUUGUCCUGUGACUGCGUACCUUUUGUAUAAUGGGUCAGCGACUUAUAUUCAGUGGCAAGGUUAACCAUCUAGGGGAGCCGUAGGGAAACCGAGUCUUAACUGGGCGUUCAGUCUCUGGAUAUAGACCCGAAACCAGGUGAUCUAGCCAUGGGCAGGUUGAAGGUUGAGUAACAUCAACUGGAGGACCGAACCGACUAAUGUUGAAAAAUUAGCGGAUGACUUGUGGCUAGGGGUGAAAGGCCAAUCAAACCUGGAGAUAGCUGGUUCUCCCCGAAAGCUAUUUAGGUAGCGCCUCGGACGAAUACUACUGGGGGUAGAGCACUGUUAAGGCUAGGGGGUCAUCCCGACUUACCAACCCUUUGCAAACUCCGAAUACCAGUAAGUACUAUCCGGGAGACACACGGCGGGUGCUAACGUCCGUCGUGGAGAGGGAAACAACCCAGACCGCCAGCUAAGGUCCCAAAUUACUACUAAGUGGGAAACGAUGUGGGAAGGCUCAGACAGCCAGGAUGUUGGCUUAGAAGCAGCCAUCAUUUAAAGAAAGCGUAAUAGCUCACUGGUCGAGUCGGCCUGCGCGGAAGAUGUAACGGGGCUAAGUAGUAAACCGAAGCUGCGGCAAUGUGCUUUUGCACAUUGGGUAGGGGAGCGUUCUGUAAGCGGUUGAAGGUGUGUGGUAACGCAUGCUGGACGUAUCAGAAGUGCGAAUGCUGACAUGAGUAACGAUAAAGGGGGUGAAAAACCUCCUCGCCGGAAGACCAAGGGUUCCUGUCCAACGUUAAUCGGGGCAGGGUAAGUCGACCCCUAAGGCGAGGCCGAAAGGCGUAGUCGAUGGGAAACGGGUUAAUAUUCCCGUACUUCUUACAAUUGCGAUGGGGGGACGGAGAAGGCUAGGUGGGCCUGGCGACGGUUGUCCAGGUUCAAGUGCGUAGGCUUAAGAGUUAGGUAAAUCCGGCUCUUUUUAAGGCUGAGACACGACGUCGAGCACCUACGGGUGUGAAGUCAUUGAUGCCAUGCUUCCAGGAAAAGCCUCUAAGCUUCAGAUUGUAAGGAAUCGUACCCCAAACCGACACAGGUGGUCGGGUAGAGAAUACCAAGGCGCUUGAGAGAACUCGGGUGAAGGAACUAGGCAAAAUGGUACCGUAACUUCGGGAGAAGGUACGCUCUCGACGGUGAAGUCCCUUGCGGAUGGAGCUAUUGAGAGUCGCAGAUACCAGGUGGCUGCAACUGUUUAUUAAAAACACAGCACUGUGCAAAAUCGUAAGAUGACGUAUACGGUGUGACGCCUGCCCGGUGCCGGAAGGUUAAUUGAUGGGGUUAGACUUCGGUCGAAGCUCUUGAUCGAAGCCCCGGUAAACGGCGGCCGUAACUAUAACGGUCCUAAGGUAGCGAAAUUCCUUGUCGGGUAAGUUCCGACCUGCACGAAUGGCGUAAUGAUGGCCACGCUGUCUCCACCCGAGACUCAGUGAAAUUGAAAUCGCUGUGAAGAUGCAGUGUACCCGCGGCUAGACGGAAAGACCCCGUGAACCUUUACUACAGCUUGGCACUGAACAUUGACCCUACAUGUGUAGGAUAGGUGGGAGGCUUUGAAGCACGUACGCCAGUAUGUGUGGAGCCGUCCUUGAAAUACCACCCUUGUAGUGUUGAUGUUCUAACGUCGACCCCUAAUCGGGGUUGCGGACAGUGCCUGGUGGGUAGUUUGACUGGGGCGGUCUCCUCCCAAAGAGUAACGGAGGAGCACGAAGGUGGGCUAAUCACGGUUGGACAUCGUGAGGUUAGUGCAAUGGCAUAAGCCCGCUUGACUGCGAGAAUGACAAUUCGAGCAGGUGCGAAAGCAGGUCAUAGUGAUCCGGUGGUUCUGAAUGGAAGGGCCAUCGCUCAACGGAUAAAAGGUACUCCGGGGAUAACAGGCUGAUACCGCCCAAGAGUUCAUAUCGACGGCGGUGUUUGGCACCUCGAUGUCGGCUCAUCACAUCCUGGGGCUGAAGUCGGUCCCAAGGGUAUGGCUGUUCGCCAUUUAAAGUGGUACGCGAGCUGGGUUUAGAACGUCGUGAGACAGUUCGGUCCCUAUCUGCCGUGGGCGUUGGAAGAUUGAAGGGGGCUGCUCCUAGUACGAGAGGACCGGAGUGGACGAACCUCUGGUGUUCGGGUUGUGUCGCCAGACGCAUUGCCCGGUAGCUAAGUUCGGAAUCGAUAACCGCUGAAAGCAUCUAAGCGGGAAGCGAGCCCUGAGAUGAGUCUUCCCUGAUACUUUAAGUAUCCUAAAGGGUUGUCGGAGACUACGACGUUGAUAGGUCAGGUGUGUAAGUGCUGUGAGGCAUUGAGCUAACUGAUACUAAUUGCCCGUGAGGCUUAACCAU
rnacentral:rRNA from 1 species